rnacentral:rRNA from 1 species
GAUGAACGCUGGCGGCGUGCCUAAUACAUGCAAGUCGAGCGAACAGACGAGGAGCUUGCUCCUCUGACGUUAGCGGCGGACGGGUGAGUAACACGUGGAUAACCUACCUAUAAGACUGGGAUAACUUCGGGAAACCGGAGCUAAUACCGUAUAACAUGUUGAACCGCAUGGUUCAACAGUGAAAGACGGUCUUGCUGUCACUUAUAGAUGGAUCCGCGCCGCAUUAGCUAGUUGGUAAGGUAACGGCUUACCAAGGCAACGAUGCGUAGCCGACCUGAGAGGGUGAUCGGCCACACUGGAACUGAGACACGGUCCAGACUCCUACGGGAGGCAGCAGUAGGGAAUCUUCCGCAAUAGGCGAAAGCCUGACGGAGCAACGCCGCGUGAGUGAAGAAGGUCUUCGGAUCGUAAAACUCUGUUAUUAGGGAAGAACAAAUGUGUAAGUAACUAUGCACGUCUUGACGGUACCUAAUCAGAAAGCCACGGCUAACUACGUG